CUAGAAGCCAGGAAGGACACUCUCUCUCUGCCUUUAGAGGGAGAUGAGCCUGGCUGCUGGGGAGUGUACCUAAGCAGCAUUCUUGAUCACAGUGGAACGUCUGAGGCUGAAGAUGACUGUCCUCCUAUGCACAGUAAACAGUCUCCCGAGCUGAAGGUCCAUCCUCUAGUGACAGGCUCUUCCUCAAGUGUCGUGUAUGCAUGCAGCAGUAAAAUGAUCCAGCUACUGUGCUCUGACUUCUGCGAAAUAUGAGAAGUGAGGAGGAUGUUGUGCAAUAUCUGAUGCAGUUAUGUGUGACCGUUCCCCUACUAAACUUCAUUCAAAUGCACUAUCUCAGAAGCAAUGGAAAGUCUUUGUAUGUAGCUCCAUGCAACCUUUCGCCUACUAAACUUAAUUUAGCUGAACUGUGGACUAUCUCAGCAAGCUGACGAAGUUCUUGCCAUUGUAUGUCAGUACUUUAACUUUAUGGGGAGACAAAAAGAAGAGAGUAGAAAGAUAUGUCCCUCAUUAAUAAUACUUUCUACUUCUAUUUUGCUUUCUAUCAGAGAAUAUCAAAGUGCUUCAAAAACAUCCAGAAAUUAAGCCUCCUGUUAUCCUUAUGAGGUAGGUAUUAUGUCAAUUUCACAAAUAGAAAUAGUGUCUCAGAGAUUAACUGACUUUCCUGUAUUUGCACAAGAAGUCUGAGAGAGAGUCACAAAUAGAGCUCUCCUCUCCUGACUCCUAAUCCUGUGCUUUAGACACAAGGCCAUUCCUUCCACUUAGAUUCAGGACUUCCUGGUAUCCUUGUAGAAAGGGAGGGACUGUCCUUAUUUAUGACAGACCUUUUUUAGGUGGGGUAGGGCAGCACUCUUGAUAUUCUCCCUUCAACAAUUAUGCUGUACCAGUAUACCAAGAGUAAAAUAGAACCCAUAUGACUUUUAUUCACCUACUCACUGCUUAAGAGUCAGUGGAAUGCAGUGAAAUUACUGGAGUACAA